rnacentral:lncRNA from 1 species
GGGACUUCCGGUUUCCUGUGCGCUACUCGGCUCUUCCGGGCAUGGCGCCGCUCUCGCGGCCGGUGGUGGAUGUGGGCGUGAGGAUGUCUGUCUCAAGAGGCUCGUAGUAGGUGCGGGGUUCCCGGUGAGCGCAGUGGGUCCUCGCCUCAUCCUCGAGAAGCGAUCGCGCGGUGGAUGUGAAAGGUGACCAAUGCGUAAACGAGAAGGGCACGGCGCUACGAAAGUUUAGUAGAAUUCAGGACCGAGGAGGUGGCUCCCCGGGCCAAGGCCCUGGCCGCCGAGCCUCAACAACGUGGGUUCGAUCCUGGGACCCACUUGGAGAGACCCGAUUUCCUCAAUAUGUCCUCUGACUUCACUACGACCUCAGUCGUGUACGCGCCACGCACAUACAAAACCGCAAAGGACAGACUAGAAUACACGCCGAAUACUGAUGGAUGAAAAGUGGAGGUGGUUCAAGGAGUGACAUCCUUUGUAAAGAAAGAGCCAGUGAAGAGGGAGAGUGGGAAGAAAAAAAAAAAAUCAAAUAUGGAGAAGGGGUACGGUAACGUUAAGACUGGAGAAUUGGCGCAACCUGGUUGCAUCUUCCAGUUAUUCUCACGGGUUUUUCUUUCAAUGAUUUUUUUCCGACCUGUGUUAAUGAUGUAUGUUGUUUCCUCUUAAAAUCUUAAGUGCUUUCAUGGCAGAACUAUAUUGUCCAAUUAUGACUACAGUAAUUAUUGACAACAGGUAUAGUGACUCAGGCCUGUAAUCUCAGCCACUUCCUUUUAAGGCAAGAGGAUCACAAGAUCGAGCCCAGCUUGAGUAACUUAGAGCUGGGGCUACAGCACAGCCAGUGGUCGAAGACUUGUUUCUAGGACAUGCCAGGCUUUUCCUCAGUAUUGGAAAAAAACGCCACUUUGUUGUUCAGAGAAAAUCGAAGGGUGUAAAAAGAGGCAGGGGAGAUUGGCUGCUGGAAGAGCCCAGGCAAGGGAGGAUGGAAUGUCUUAUUCUGGUUCUUGGGAGAGGGUCUUACUAUGCAGCCCUGAACUCGUGCUUCACUCUCUUCAGUGAUGGGAUUGCAGUGCAGGCCAUCUCAUCCCUACCACCGUAGUGGAGUUUCAGAGAAACCUUACAACCCGAUGCAAGUCGCUGUGCUUAAAUCUAUUUUCUUAGUAUUUUCUCUUCAUUUAGAAUUUGACGUUUGUGGUAGGUCUUGAUCACUAUUUUGCCCAAUAAAUACUUGUUAAAUGAUGAAGUUGGAUGAUGUCAGUGAAGCUAUAGGUCAAUUUUAUUUGUAUGUAUGUAUGUGUAUGGCUACACCAAGGAAUGCAUGCAGUCACAGGACCAUUUGCAGUUUUGUCUUUAAAGGGCGUGGGUUCUGGGGUUGACCUCAGGGCAUCAGGCUUGGUGGCAAGCACCUUACCUGCUGAGCCAUUUUGCCAGCCCAAGAUGUAGAUACAUUUUAGGAUUUUGCUUGGUGUGGUGUUGCAUGACUUUAAUCCCAGCACUAGAUCUCUGUCAGCUCGAAGCCAGCCAGAUCUACACAUUAAAUUCUAGACCAUCCAGAGCUACUUUUUAGUUUUUCCUUAGACGGGGUUUCCCUGUGUGGUCCUGGCUAUCCUCAAACUUAGAGAUCUUUCUACCUCUCUCUGCCUCCCAAGUGCUGGGAUUAAUGUGACCUUUCUUUCUGAAAAAAAAUUAGGGGAUUUUGAUGAACGGAUAUCUGAAUGUUAAAAUGAACUAGUGUUUGGGUUUAAUUUUUUAAAAAGGAAUGGGACAUGCCCCUUCACCACUCUGAAUCCUCACCGAAAUCAAGUUUACUGUUACCCUA